rnacentral:lncRNA from 1 species
GAGAGAGAAAAGUGGGGGAGAGAGAGAAAAGUGGGGGAGGGUAGGGGGGUAAAGUGCACCCCAUAAGCAAAAUAAGCAGCUCCAAACUUGCUUAUUUGCUUAUGCAUAAGCAACUUAUAAGCAAGUCUAUAAGCAAGGGUGUUUGGGUCAUAAGCAACUUAUUUGCUUAAAUAUAAGUUGCUUAUUUAUAAGCAAGGCUAACCAAACAGGCCCGAAGAUUCCUGGCCUGGUAUAUGCGUCAAGUACUCAAGAGAUUCGAGUCC